UAGUAAGGUGACCACCUCUCUCUC
rnacentral:misc_RNA from 1 species